GUUGAAUCCUAAGGGGAGCCAGUCAUUUCACCUCUCUAGGCUAACCCCAAUAUGGUAGGCCCUCAGUAAACAUUUGUUGACUAUCUGAUCUGACAGCAUUCCGACUGAUAGCAGUGCUGCCAGCCCAUGUCCUCAGAAGGGCUGAGCCUGGAAAGAGAAAACAAAUUUUUUUUUGGAAAGAUGAUCUUGACCAUUUGUCUAUGACUUUGGGAAACUCAAAGCAGUGCCCAUGUUCUUGCUGCCAUUGCAUGCCGUUGAGAUCGACAGCUGCGGUUCUGGAGACAGCCAGAGAAACUUAGUUGAUACAUGGCAGGGCCAGGAAUUAGAUCCAGCUCUCUGGCUUUAGAGCUCUCUGCACCUUCCCUGCCCCUUUGCCACAUCACCCUCCUUCCAGAAGCAAUCAGAGGUGGAAAAAGGAAUCGAAGGCAGAGUCAUCCGCAAACUUAUGGGAAAAAAGGCUUCCAUGUGGUGAUGAAUAUAUACCUUAUUUGACGUUGAUAUCAUUGACGGCUGUCAUAAAACAGAGAGAAGACAGUCUCAGAGAGGUCAAGCCGCUUGUUCAAGGUCAGCUGGUCAAUAGCAAAGUAUGUUUCAGACUGUUUUUGCCAAGCUCCAGAUCCAGUGCGAAAACUUGUCCAUGCUGUCUCCAGAUCCACACCAACAUAUAUCCUGUAUCUUUGUAGCCAACCACGUUUUUGACGUAAAACCUCAGUGCUCAGUUUAAUCAUCUGUUUUAUUCUCCAUAUUUUGCUCAGAAAGACUUCAGAGUUGAAGAUUAGCCAUCAGAGGUAACACUUACAAGAAUGUUCCUCAGGUUCUGAAGAUCUGAAUCUUCAAAGAGUUGUUCCAAAAAUGAAACGAACAGCAAAUCAUCAGAACAGCUGUUUACCAUUCCAAGGAUGGCUGUGAAGAACAUGUAUUUGAACAAGUAAUUCCAAGUUCUUGUGAAAAACAAUUAGCUGUUUUCUUUAAAAUUGUAUCACUUUGAGAGUCUGAAUGGAGUUCUUUAAAAAUCCACAGCUUUGGGCCAGCA
ensembl:lncRNA